rnacentral:rRNA from 1 species
UACGUAGGGACCGAGCGUUGUCCGGAAUCACUGGGCGUAAAGGGUGCGUAGGCGGGGCUUUAAGGCAGGGGGGAAAUCCUGGAGCUCAACUCCAGAACUGCCUUUGAUACUGAGGAUCUUGAGUUCGGGAGAGGUGAGUGGAACUGCGAGUGUAGAGGUGAAAUUCGUAGAUAUUCGCAAGAACACCAGUGGCGAAGGCGGCUCACUGGCCCGAUACUGACGCUGAGGCACGAAAGCGUGGGGAGCAAACAGG